rnacentral:rRNA from 1 species
GGGAGGCAGCAGUGAGGAAUAUUGGUCAAUGGACGAGAGUCUGAACCAGCCAAGUAGCGUGAAGGAUGACUGCCUAUGGGUUGUAAACUUCUUUUAUACGGGAAUAAGUGAGGCACGUGUGCCUUUUUGUAUGUACCGUAUGAAUAAGGAUCGGCUAACUCCGUGCCAGCAGCCGCGGUAAUACGGAGGAUCCGAGCGUUAUCCGGAUUUAUUGGGUUUAAAGGGAGCGUAGGCGGACGCUUAAGUCAGUUGUGAAAGUUUGCGGCUCAACCGUAAAAUUGCAGUUGAUACUGGGUGUCUUGAGUACAGUAGAGGCAGGCGGAAUUCGUGGUGUA